rnacentral:tRNA from 1 species
GGGGUUGUGGCUCAGAGGUAGAGCGCUCGCCUGGCAUGCGUGAGGCACUGGGUCCGAUCCUCAGCACCA